rnacentral:lncRNA from 1 species
AUCAUUGAUUGUGGGCUAUAUUUAUAAAGAUUAUAAGAGAAAAAUCACUCUAGAGAAGAGCUAUUACUGUAUUUAUUUUUGUUUGUUUUAGAGGUUGUGAGAUUUGAUGGCUACAACAUUUAUUUCAUUAUUUGAGAGGAUCUCCUUGAGUGAUUAUUUAUAUUCGAAGAGAGGGCAUUUUCUUAAAGACUAGAAGCACUCUAGUGUUGUAAAUAUUUUUCAAACACCCGUAAACUUAGUGGAUACCCAAAGAGAACUUAGAGAGUGGACGUAAGCAAUGAUUCGCCAAACCACUAUAAAUUGUUUGCACUCUCUUCUCUCUUCUUAUUGCUUAUUUAUUUGAUUAGAGUGCAUAGUAAAUUUAUUGUUAAGUAAACUUUUAAUUGGUUAUUAAGAGUAGCAAACCUAUUCACUCCUCAUAGUUUGAUUUUUAGCUAAGAGAAAUAAAAAUGAAAAAGGUAUGUGAUCCAAUAGUUUUGAACAAUUGGAUCGUCAGCUUUUUUUAUUUUUAUUUUAUUUUUUCUCACUAAAUUUAGAAUCCAAACACAAUCUUAGGGUGUGAAUUUCGAAAUCUACAAAUAUAAUAUAGGCUACGUUCAUUUGGUGUGAAUUCAGUUAGUGGUUGCAAUUAAGGUCUCUUGUAAGUACGAUAUGAAUAAUGUUUGAUUCUUUUAUGUUGUCUUUUUUUAGUUCUCUUUUUUGUGUGCUUGAUUAGAUUAGUUAUGUAAUUAAUUAUAACUCUAGUUGGACUGGGGCAAAUUAAAUUAAUUGAUUGUUAGAUUAUUAAUUAAUUAAUAUCAUGGUUAUAUCAUUGUGUGACAAGGGUUUGAUAAAUUACCGAAGCAUUUUUAUCCUAGUGACUAUAAUAUCCGAAAGCUUAGGUUGCGUUUCGAAAGGAAAGAAAUGGAAAAGAAUGGACACUAAUAAUUUUCCCUUUUCCAGGUUUCGUAUCUAGUUUUAAGAAGGAAAGUCAGUCAAAACUUAUUUUCUUUCUUGUUUUGAAAUUUUCUUUUCACAUUUUCACCUCUUAAUUUUAUCUAAAAUUAAAUAAAAAUAAUUUUUUUUUUUUUUACAAAAAACAAACAAAGAGAAAUAUAUAGUUUUCUCUAGAUUCUUCCUUUUAAUUCCUUUAUCUAGUUUCUCUUUCUUUUUCUUUACACAAUUUCCAAACACAGGCUUAAUCAUGGGAGAGAGAGGUUGCUAGGUUGUGUAAUUAGCAAAAUUUCAUGACACGUCUUAUUUGAUGUAAUUUGGAGAUUUAGUUUAUCAAUUACAAGCAUUCGGAAAGAUUUCAAGCAUUCAAAAAGGUUUUUAAGUAUAUUCAUACAAGAUCAUGCUAACAGAGACUUGUAAGAUACAUCGUGGAUGAUAAACGGGACUUCAAGGGAUUUCGAGAGAUGACAAUCAUUAGAUCAUAGAGUUGAUAGAUUUUAAUUGUAAGAGUCUUGUAAUCAUCUGAACAUCGAGUUAUAGUGCAUGAUCUUUGUCCAGAGAAGGGAACACGUGAUUUUUCUUUCAUUCAAGGGUUUCCACGGUAAAAAUCUUGUGUAUUUCUUGGUUAAUGGGUUUGUUUCUUUUUAUAUCUUGAAUCUUACAAUAUUGCACAAAGUCGUGAUAUUCAUUUAAUAUUGUAGUUUUUAGAUCAUUGGGUAAAACAUAGACAAAUGUUAGGUUUUCUAAAUGUCAAUUACACAAAUAGAUACACAGUAUUAUUAUACAUAGAGGGAGCAAUAGCCCACAAGUAGAAGUUUCAGUUUCACCACACCCAUAUUAUUAACAGAUGGAAAUAUAUAUUUAUUCUUGAGAGGUACACACUGAUCACACAUCUACUGCUCCAUACCAAGUAAGCCAGAUAAUGGCAUUUAUAUCUCCAUUAUAUCACUUGAGAUGGUGGGUCUCAAUGUCUUUUGUGAUCUCAAUACAGAGGUCCAUCAAUUUGUUUGGCUCUUCAACAUCUUCUUUCGGCUUUUCAUAGUGAAAGUUCCAUGUCACCGAGGUGUUUUCCCCUUUUGUGUCCACAUGAACAACAAUCAUAAAGGUCUUGUACAGAUCCAUAAGAUCUCCUUCAACAACCUUGAAUGUCACGGACUUGGUUUCUUCUUCAGUUCUUCUAUUGCUUCAACAAUUUCCUUAGCAGCCUUCUCCUUUCUAUCUGUGGUUUUCAUCACAUUAAAUGCAACUUCUUAAGUCAAGCUAGUCAAGGCGUAUCCACAAUUUUAAUUUUGGGGAGCUGAAUAUAUAUAUAAAACACAUAAUUUGUAAAUUACACAUGUAAUAUAUUGGACCUAGAAUUUCUCUCCUAGGUGCUUUCAAUUGCUUGUAAUAAAACAUAAUAUUUUUAUGUAAUUUUUAUAUAUUUUAUAUUUUGAGUAUUUGUCUGUGAAUCCAACCCUAUAGUUGUAAUUUAAAGAAAUUCUGAAACUACGAGGACAAAAGUGCAAUUUUGUACUAGAGGAGGUUAAGAAGACUAUAAAUACAUGAGGGAGGCAACCCUAAUUGGGAGUAAGAGCCAACAAUAUUGUUUAUCCAUGCUCUUUGUGUACUUGAGAGAUUUUUAGAGAAAUCAUUGAGCUUCAUCUUUUCUCUUAAGGUGUGUUUAUCAUAAACUCAUCAAAUCAAGAUUUAAAUCCUUUGGACAUACUCAAAGGCGGAUAGAUUUAAGUUCAAUUCAUAGAUGAUUGUUGAUGAUUCAAUACUCAACCAUUAACUGAAGCGUAGAUCGUGGACUCAGUCAGUACUAGGAUCACAUUCACAUGUUCGAGGAUUUGACACCUAAGGCGCGUGAAUUUAGUUAGAUUGAGUUUGUAAGUUAUAACUUAUAUUUUGCAUAGUGGAUUAGUUGAUCGUACUUAGUUCCAGAUUUUUUUUUCUACUUUGAGAUUUUGCACGUAAAAAAUUGCUUGUUUUUGUGUGUGCUUGAUUUUAUAUUUAUUUGAGGUUUUUAUUUGUUUGGUUAAAUAGCUUCGCAAAUUCAUAAAACGAAUAAAACUAUAUUUUUAAUUUUACAAUUGGUAUCAGAGCGGGUCACUCAAAAUAAAAUAUUUUUUUAUUUUUUUUCAGAGUAUGGUCUGAUUGAUUUGUUUCUAUGUAUAAAUUUGAUCGUAAGAAGCUUGACAAUAUUCAACAAGCCUAUGAUAACUUUGUAAGGAGUCUUAUGAGAAGAACAAAAUUUAUGAAAAAUGUAAUGCAAAAGUGGAAUCACUUAAGAAGUCUUAAGAGAUGAAUAUAAAUAAGAGCUAAUUGAAGCUCAAGCUACCGUGGGUGAAUUGAAUCGUAUAAUGCUACUUUGUCUAAAAAAAAAAUUAUUAUUGAAAAAGAGAAAAAAUAAAUAUUUGAUAAGUUGAAUUUACUUUUUGAAAAACAUUUAAAACCUGACAAAGAUAUGCAUUUGUGUCUUGAGUCAAAAGAUAAUCUUGAGGAAAAAGUGGGUAAAUUAGAAUUUGAUCUUAGUGCUUCUAAUGCUACUCUCGAGAAGUUUAAUGCAGAUUCAAAGGUUUUGGAUGAAAUUAUUUGCGUGCAAAAAUUUUCUUCUGACAAGAGAGGACUUGGAUAUGUUGAUAAGCCUUCAUCUUCUUCCAAAUCGGGGAACAUGGAUAUUUUUGUGAACCCUAAAAAAUGUGGUUCCAAUCUUUCCAAGGCCAACCAAACAAAGGGAUCUCCUAAGAAAACCGUCACAAAUGUAUAGGUAAAAUCAUCUAAUUUUAAUCUUGUUUGCCAUCAGUGUAGUGUCCAUGGUCAUAUUAGGCAUUUAUUGAUUUAAUGAUUGUUUUGAUGAUAUUUGAUGAUGUCAAGGUUUCAUCAUGUAUGGUCUUAAUAUUGAUAUAUGCACAAAAUGUAUAUAUAUAUAUAUAUAUAUAUAUAUAUUAUUUAUCAUAUUAAUACAUAUAUAUUAGAUUCAUGGUAUGAUUAUGCGUAUUCUACAUUAGUAUUUUUCAUUCUAUUAGUAUUAUACACCUUCAAAGUUCAGUCGAUCAAAAUUGCAACUGAAACAAAGUUUGAUUGACUGAAGUUGACUUUUGGUCGGCCGAACUUUCGACCAAAAUUUAAAAUUUUCAAUCCUAACAGUCCAAAUCAAGUUCCAACGGCCCAAAUUAAAUUCUAAUUACUCUAUUACUAUUUCAACAAGUAGAUUUGCUAAGAUGGCUAUAAAUACAACCCUUAACUAGAUGCAAAUUAUGAUGGGAUGAAAUAGGUUUGAUAGGAUUAAUGACCAAUUAAAAUUCUUGUUAAAACUUAUACUAGCAAUGCACUCUCAAUUUAAGCAAAUAUAUAUAAACAACUUAAAAGAGGGGAGAGAAAAUAGUGCAAACGAUUUAUAAUGGUUCAACAAAUCUCAGCCUACGUCCACUCUCCAAACUUCUCAUUGGAAAUUCAUUAUCUUCAAAUUUGUGAGUGCUUGAAAAUCUUUAUAAAUACUAGAACCUUUUAGUCGUCAAGAGAGUCCCUCUCUUAGGAAUUUUACAAUUACUUAUAGUGAUCCUUUCAACAAGAUACAAUAGUUGAAGUGAUUCUUACUUACCAACUCUAGAUCAAGGAUAAAUACAAUCAUAUCUAGAAUGAUCUUGCUCACUUUGAUUUUUGGCAAAUCAAACUCACAAUAAAUGAACAAAUGAUUGAAGUAUUGAAUACAAAUGUUAUUAGGAUUUUAUGGCACUUCAAUACCCUUCCAACAAACCCAAGGAUUGAAUUAUAAGCCAAAAGUUAAAUAGAGUCAUUGCAGCAUGUAAUGCAUCUGAUUAAGCCAUUCUGAUUGAAUCUCAGCCGUUGGAUCUUGAUUUGGACUGCAGGAUUAAAAUGUUCAAACUUCGGUUGACCAAACUUUAAUUAUGGUCGAAAUUGCACUGAGAUUUCAGAGAUUAACUUUUCUUGUUUACUGAAGGGUUGGGGAACUUCGGUCGAGGUUUUGUAACUUUCGAUCGAACGAAUGUCAACUUCGGUUGACAUUGCUCUACAAUUUCAGUAAGCUCUUUAAUCUCUAAUUUGGCUCUUAACUGAUUUCG